UGGGGAAUAUUGCACAAUGGGCGCAAGCCUGAUGCAGCGACGCCGCGUGAGCGAAGAAGGUUUUCGAAUCGUAAAGCUCUGUCCUAUGAGAAGAUAAUGACGGUAUCAUAGGAGGAAGCCCCGGCUAAAUACGUGCCAGCAGCCGCGGUAAUACGUAUGGGGCGAGCGUUGUCCGGAAUUAUUGGGCGUAAAGGGUACGUAGGCGGUCUAUUAAGUCAGGUGUGAAAGCGUGAGGCUUAACCUCAUUAAGCACUUGAAACUGAUAGACUUGAGUGAAGGAGAGGAAAGUGGAAUUCCUAGUGUAGCGGUGAAAUGCGUAGAUAUUUGGAAGAACACCGGUGGCGAAGGCGGCCUUCUGGGCCACGACUGACGCUGAGGCGCGAAAGCUAGGGGAGCGAACAAG
rnacentral:rRNA from 1 species